GUGGCUGUGGCUCAGUGGUAGAGCGCUCGCCUGGCAUGCGGGAGGCACAGGGUUUGAUCCUUAGCAUCACG
rnacentral:tRNA from 1 species